ensembl:lncRNA
AUAAAUUAAUCCAUUAAUUUGAAAUUAGUUGGUCGAGAUUUAAGUGUAGAGAUUGCAAUGAUAAUGAUAUGCUUCUCCCAUAUGAAGGAAAAGAUGAGGAUUUUUGAUUUAGUGAUACAAAAUAACAAUCCUAUAGCAAUUAAUAAAGGCCAAUUUAUCGUCCUGUCAGCUCAGCACUAAGAUAAUAAUGUAGGACUUUGUUUCCUGACAAAUAGUCAAAAGAGGUUUCCUUUUCCACUAUAGAUUCUUUUUGUAAUCAAUACAUGCUCUUAUUUUUUAACCCGACUGGCAUUACAGUAAACAGUUACUUCUUUCAAUUGGUUUUUAUAUGCAGGUUUUUACAGAACCUCACUUGAAAACAAAGGUUUGGGGUUUUUUUUUGUUUUGGGGUUUUUUUCUUCAAUAGAGAGGAGAACGUGUUCCAUUAAGAAUCACUUUGAUUCUUGUUGAAAUCUUAAUGUUAUUUCAAAGACUUACCACGUUUCAUCAGGAAAAAGAAAAAACAAAGCAAUACAUUUGGACAAGUGGGGGGAUCAGGUAAUGGUAUAAUACUAUGCCUAUUUUAAAACAGAGGUUUGAAAACGGUCCGGGUUCAAAGUUUCCCUUUUCUAAUAGCAUUGGCUAUUUGUAAAGAUGAUCACUUUUUUUUUUGUUUUUGUUCUUGUUGCACAGCCUGUGUAUCAGAAAAGCUUCUUUCAGAAAUGGUAUCAUGGAAGGAAAAGCCAGAAAGUGUAUUGGCCUGUGCAUCUUACGUUCUUGCAGCACAGAACCAUAGUUCCUCGGGUGGUCUAUAGGCCGCAUGCCAGACCAGACUGGAUUACAAAGCAGCAAAGCCAAGUGGCUGCACACCAAAGGAAGUUUUUCUGGAGAGUCAAGAUGAUCCUAUGGGCAUUCCACGAGUUUAGUAUUAUCUCUUUUGGGAAGCGAUGCUUUAAUAAAAUGUGCUGUUCUUCCACAAGCAAUCAACAGCAUAUAGAAGUGCUGGCCCAACACAAUACCUACUGAAGUCGGUCUGCAAUACCUGCUGAAGUCUACUUAUCAUAGAAUCAUAUAAUAAUUUAAGAUGGAACGGAUCGCUGAAGACCAUCUAGUUAAACUCCUCAAAGGAGGACUAACUUCAGAGUUAGAUUAAGUUUCACAGGAUAUUGCUUUCGCAGGAUGACUUUAUACAGGAUCAAGAAAACUGAUAGGCUAUAUGUCUAAUAGUGCUUUUCACCUAUAUCUUUUGGCUCAAAGUACUAUUUAACUCCAGGAAGGAAAAUGAAGUUAGCUUUCACGGUUGUGGACAAUUUCCUGUGUCUUCUCCAUUUUGAAAGAAUAUUCAGUUUGAAUGUCUGAGAAAUAACAAUGAGAACUUUACUGUUUGAUAUCCAGAUAAACACUCAUUUAAACCCAGGUCACAUUUUUUAAACCCAGUAAAUAUUUCUAAAAACAGCAAUUUUUAUUUUUUUUGUUUGAGUUCAGUUGUGAAGCCUGCUGCACAUAUAUGAAUGAAAAUCAUUUAAAAUGUGUGUAUCUCCUUUACAUUUUGGGUACAUGCUUCCAUUUGUCAGGUUCUGCAUUUGAGUUUGAUGAAGGAGGAAGAAGGGAAGAAGUAACAACUGUUGACAGACUUCUUUCCCGUUCCUGAUGCUGAAUGGGAAGUAGCAGGGCAGAGUCAGGGUUGUGUGUCUUGUCUGGAGCACUCCAACAAGUGUGGAGGGAGUGUAAUCUUGUUCAGACCUUCACUGUGAGAGGGCUACAAACAAGAAUGGGAUUGUGCUGUCUUACUCUGAGCGGCUUCAGUGAUUACAGUACGAUCCACAACAAUCAACUUUUGCAAGUAGUCUUACGACUCAAGUCCAAAGAAAGAUAUGCUCAAAAAAUAUACAUACAUACAUACAUAUACAUAUAUAUAUAUAUAUAAAUGUACAUAAAUAAAUAACAUCCUCUCAAAUGUACA